rnacentral:rRNA from 1 species
ACGUAGGGGGCAAGCGUUGUCCGGAUUCAUUGGGCGUAAAGAGCGUGUAGGCGGCCAGGUAGGUCGGUUGUGAAAACUGGAGGCUCAACCUUCAGAGGUCGACCGAAACCAUCUGGCUAGAGUCCGGGAGAGGUGAGUGGAAUUCCUGGUGUAGCGGUGAAAUGCGCAGAUAUCAGGAGGAACACCAAUUGCGAAGGCAGCUCGCUGGGACGUUACUGACGCUGAGACGCGAAAGCGUGGGGAGCAAACAGGA